rnacentral:rRNA from 1 species
CUUUUGAUUUUAAUUUAAGGUCUCGCCUGCCCAAUGAUUAUUAUUGAAUGGCCGCGGUAUUUUGACCGUGCAAAGGUAGCAUAAUCAUUUGUUUUUUAAUUGAAAGCUAGAAUGAAGGGUUGUAUGAGAAAAUUACUGUCUCUAUUUAAAUUAAUUAGAACUUUAUUUUUAAGUUAAAAAGCUUAAUUAAUUUUUGAAGACGAGAAGACCCUAUAGAGUUUUAUAGUCUAAAAAUUUGAGUAGUUUAGGAUUAAUAUUAUUUAAUUUUGAGGAUUAUUUAAUUGGGGUGAUUGAAAAAUUUAUUAAACUUUUUUUUUAUAUAUACAUAAAUUAAUGAAUAAUUGAUCCUUUUUUAAAGAUUAAAAGAUUAAAUUACCUUAGGGAUAACAGCGUAAUUUUUUUUUAGAGUCCAAAUCAAAAAAAAAGAUUGCGACCUCGAUGUUGGAUUAAAAUUUAUACUUGGUGUAGCAGCUGAG